rnacentral:piRNA from 1 species
UGUUGCCCGCACUGUGUCCAAGUGUUCUC